GGAAGGGAAGCCAAGGAAGGGAGGCCGGGCCAGAGCCUUGGCUUACAGAGGCGGGAAGAGGGCGCUGGCCCGCAGACGUCCAGCCAGACCACCCUCCUGGGCCGUUGGGGCUAGGCUGGGGCUGGCGAGCGGUGGUAUGUGGAUGGCCAUGGGGCCUCGGGGAGGUGCCCGGGAAGAGGAGCCUCAAUAAGCCAGAGCCCAGCAAGGAGCCUGGGACCCUCGCCCUUAGGAACCGCGAUGUGCCUGCGACUGGGUGGCCUGAGCUGCAAUGAUUACAAGAAGGUUCUGAUGAAGACUGGCCUGGUGCUUCUAGUUCUGGGGCACAUCAGCUUCAUCACGGGUGCUUUGCUGCACGGCACAGCUCUGCGUUAUGUCACAGACACCCAGGAUGCCAUCUCGCUGCAGUACGCCGUCUCCAACAUUCUGGCUGUCACCUCAGCCAUCUUGAUCAUUGCUUGUGGGAUCACAGUCAUUGUGCUGUCCAGAUUCUUCUCCCUCACCUCUCUGCGAUGGACAGUGUUUGCAGCCAGUGUAACCAGCGCCCUCUUCUCCCUGGUCUGCUCCCUUGGACUCCUGGCAUCUAUUGCCAUCACCUUCGCCAACCAGGGCCGGUCGCUGCUCGCCACCUGCUCCUUCAGUAACUCUGAGCUCCUCUCCCUGACACCGGACUGCCCCUUUGAUCCCACCCGAAUCUAUAGCUCCACCCUCUGUCUCUGGGCCAUCUCCUUGGCCCUUUGUGUGGCUGAAAGUACCUUUGCUGUGCGGGCAGCCCAGCUCACUCACCAGCUGCUGGAACUGAGGCCCUGGUGGGGGAAGACGAAUCAGUUGGAGCUGCCCAGGUGUGUGACCCCCGUUGUCCAGCCUCAUGCUUGACAGCAUGUUUCUUCCUGUUUAUUUCCUUAUCCGGCAGGGGACAAGAGACUGUCCCCAGAGAAGAAAGAUCACAGAAAACUCAAGCCUUUCUGAUGGCCGAGACCUGCUCAGCUGCUCCAGCUCAGAGCCCACAAUCCCCUGAGAGACU